AAUCUCGAGGCUCAACCUCGAAACUGCAUUGGAAACUGCAUUACUUGAGUGUCAGAGAGGAAAGCGGAAUUCCUGGUGUACCGGUGGAAUGCGUAGAUAUCAGGAAGAACACCGACGGCGAAGGCAGCUUUCUGGCUGGCAACUGACCCUGAUGAACGAAAGCUAGGGUAGCGAACAGGAUUAGAUACCCUGGUAGUCCUAGCUGUAAACGUUGUGCACUGGAUGUGGGCGGAUUUGGUCCCGUCUGUGUCUGAGCGAAGGCGUUAAGUGCACCGCCUGGGGACUACGGCCGCAAGGCUAAAACUCAAAGGAAUUGACGGGGGCCCGCACAAGCGGUGGAGCAUGUGGCUCAAUUCGAGGCAACGCGAAGAACUUUACCUGGGUUUGACAUAUACCUGACCGCCGGUGAGAGCCGGUUUCUCUUUGAGCAGGUAUACAGGUGCUGCAUGGCUGUCGACAGCUCGUGCUGUGAAGUGUUCGGUUAAGUCCGGCAACGAGCGCAACCCACGCUGUUAGUUACCAUCAGGUAAUGCUGGGGACUCUAACAGGACUGCCCGUGCUAAGCGGGAGGAAGGCGUGGACGACGUCAAGUCCGCAUGGCCCUUACGCCCAGGGCUGCACACGUGCUACAAUGGCCGGUACAGAGGGUCGCCACUCUGCGAAGAGGAGCUAAUCCCGAAAACCGGCCUCAGUUCGGAUUGGAGUCUGCAACCCGACUCCAUGAAGUAGGAAUCGCUAGUAAAGGCGUAUCAGCAACGGCGCCUUGAAUCUGUUCCCGGGCAUUGUACA
rnacentral:rRNA from 1 species